rnacentral:lncRNA from 1 species
UCAUUUCUCUCAUGUUUCAUUAAACCGAUUUCCCUAACUUUCCUCUUAGAAAUUUGUCCACAUUCUAGUUAGGGUGAAAUCGUUUUCCCAUUUUCCGUUUCAGAAAUCGCUUUGCUUCUCUACUAACAAUUCCAUUUCCUUAGACUUUCCUCUUCGAUUCAUAUUCUUCUUAAAUCUUUUUGUUCAAUGGGAUUUCUUUCAUAACAAUUAAACAGAUUCAAUUUUUCCUUUCUUCUCUCUCGUAGCAAUUCGAUUUUCUGCGUUUCAAUUUAGCUCUUCUUCUCUCAAAUCCUAAAAUCGCUCAUCUUCUCUAAAAUCGUUCUUCUCCUUUCGAUUCGAAUGUGUUCAUCAAAUUUUGUUCAAUUUCAUUCGUAGUCUCACAAAAUCGUAGAAAUUAAGUUUCAAAUCGUUCUUCCAUCUCAAGUAAAUGAAUAUUUUUCUUCCAUCACAAUUUCCUCGAAAUACAUUUCCUUCAAGACCUGUUCAUCGGGUUAUCAGGCUCCUCCGUUGACUUCACCUAUAAAUCUUCUUCCCAAAUCUACGACAUUUUCGUUUAAAAUUGUCGGGUUCUUCAAGGCAAAUAUUGGGAGGCUCCAUGGUUUAUUGUGACAACCAGCUAUAUUUAGUAAGUUGCAGAACUAGUUCAAUUCAUGUCGAAUAAGUAAGUUGCAGCCUCUAGUAGCAAUUUUAUACAUCUUGAUAUUGGUAAUUGAAAAAUCACAUAACAUGUUAAAUACUAAUGACUAUCUUUUUGAGCAAUGAACAUUCAUUUACAUUGAUUUCAGUCUUAGCUUUGCAUGGUCUGCAAGUGAAAAAAUCACCAAAGCGUGUUGCAUAGAGAUGAUGGCUUUAUUCCUGAACUUUCAUACAUAUUUACAUAGAUACUUGAUUUUGAUCUUUAGAUUAGGACCCUAAGUAUCACUUCUUAUCUUAUAAAGUGCUUAUUAUUGUUUUGAUUCUUAAUUAGGGAUGACUUCUUCUUUGUUUGAUUUUUAAUUCCUCUUACAGGAUAUUUAUUUUUGCCAUUCAAUCCAUCUAAGGUCAGUUCAAUCAUUCCCAUCUCAAUGCUUUUGUUUCUAAAUUCCUCUUACACUCUGAAUGCAACAUUUCUUGAAACAAACAAUAGCUUUUUUUGGCAUUGACUUUUACCCUUUUCUUGACUCUCUUUUUCCCUUUUUGCUAAAUCUAUUACUGAACUAGAAAAUAUUUCUUUAUAUCUUUAACUUGCUAGAAGAUUCUAGGUCUUUAUUUUUUUUAUUUGAAGACCUAUGUUUUCAAAAUGUAGUAUUACAUUAAUUACUGUAAUACCACAGAAUCAUACACACAAAGAGUAGUACAAUAAUAGUCUAUUCAUUAUUCCGAUGUGAAGUGCGGUGAACCAAAAUUAAAUGUUGUAUGCGAAGCUGGUAUCAGCUGACAAAAAUUAGUGAAGGUUAUUUUGAAGGCAAGUUGUUGAAAUCAAUGAGCAAACAUCCAUUCAGUCAUAUCUUGCUGGAAUGUGGCUAGAGUAAUUUGUAACUAGUAUUAGUAAUGUUGUUCUGAGUGCAAUAGACCUGUCUGUUUGUGCAUAUAUGUAAUAUUUAAGGUGUGUGCAUCAAUAGCUUCUAUGGGAAACUAGCUCAUAAUAAUUGUCUCGACUUUGCAUAUGAAUUUUGAAGCUUUAUUUGGGUAUGGUGUCAUUCUAGUUCUUAUCAUGACGAGGAGCAUUAUAGUAGUGUUCCAUUAAAGGAUGAUCCUUGUGAUGGACCUGCAAGGUCGAUUGUAAUUAAGGUUCUUAUUGGAAUUUUGUUUCCUAAUUCUCAAAUUAAUGUUAAGAGUUAAGAGUAGUAGCUAUUUACUGAUUAAUUCUAGUUUGUGAAAGGCGAAUGUCGAUCUUUCAGCGCCAUCCCAUCAAACGAAAGAUAGAGCUAGCAAACCCUAUGAGCAAGCUGGUAGGCAAACGUUUUAGCUGGGUCUGUAAAGGUGGUUAUGGCUGGAAAUGGAUAUGAAAACAGAGAGAAAAUGGAACAAGUGCAAUAAGUGGAUGCCUUUUUCUUUGUUUGAAAAUUGAUGAUAUCUCAAUUAAAGGAGAACUCUUGCAGCUUGCUGUUUUUUUUUCUUUUGGAAAUUAACAACUUUACAUGUAAUUAUAAAUUCUUUGUUGCAGAUUCUAGAUCAGGUAAAUGGAGAUGUUGGGACUGUUAUAGAGUUUCUAAUAGCAGAACAACGAGCAGAAAAGUGCUCUUCAAAUUCUGAUUGCCUUCAAAGUCAGGCUAGUAUUAACGGCAAUGUCAAGUCAUUUCAUUUUGCACUUUCUGAAAGUCAAACCAUCAUAUUUUCCUGUUCAUAAUUGUUAAUUUGGUUCUCUAUAUAGCAUAUUACAUCUUGGUAGGAUUCAUUCAUGUUUGUGUUUACUAUUUAUACUCCAACUCUUAACUCCAAUUUCU